CUACGGGUUGCAGCAGUGGGGAAUAUUGCACAAUGGGCGCAAGCCUGAUGCAGCAACGCCGCGUGAGGGACGACGGCCUUCGGGUUGUAAACCUCUUUUAGCAGGGAAGAAGCGAAAGUGACGGUACCUGCAGAAAAAGCACCGGCUAACUACGUGCCAGCAGCCGCGGUAAUACGUAGGGUGCAAGCGUUGUCCGGAAUUAUUGGGCGUAAAGAGCUCGUAGGCGGGUUGUCGCGUCUGCUGUGAAAAUCCGAGGCUCAACCUCGGACCUGCAGUGGGUACGGGCAAACUAGAGUGCGGUAGGGGAGAUUGGAAUUCCUGGUGUAGCGGUGGAAUGCGCAGAUAUCAGGAGGAACACCAAUGGCGAAGGCAGAUCUCUGGGCAGUAACUGACGCUGAGGAGCGAAAGCGUGGGGAGCGAACAGGAUUAGAUACCCCAGUAGUC
rnacentral:rRNA from 1 species